AGAGGUCUCCCGUGAGAAGGGCAUUUCCCAGGCAGGACUCCUAGGGCAGAUCCAUCGUUCAUGAAGAGCCACCCCUGUGAAAUGUGUGGCCUCACAGACAAUUGGCACUUGGAUGAGCAGCAGCCAACACAUGACAGGCAGAAACUGCACAGAUUUGUAGAAAUGGAAUUGCUGCAAAAAAGUACUGCAUGUUCAUGCUGGAUAUGACAAGCUUCCUUUUCUACAGUUUGUUCCAGUUUGUACUCAAACCAACAGGAAAUCAUGACCGCAGGGAUGUGGCAUUGUGCUCAGGACGAACGAGGGCAGUCUCUUCCCAGGUCCUGCAGAGGAGCCAUGGAGCCUGCUGUGCACAACUGUUGAGGGAUCAUCCUCAUUCCAGACACGCUGGACUCACAGGACGAGGGGGCAGGACGCUGCAACCGACUGCUGGGCACGUGCCUCUCAGGACAGCAUCCGCCUGACCCGCCACUGUGGCUGGGAAGGAUGAGCAGCAUGCAGAACUUCCCAAGGAUUAAACCCAAGCCACAGAAGUGACAACUCCAGGAGUUCCAAUCAUGGCUCAGAAGACACCAAUCUGACUAGUAUCCAUGAGGACACAGGUUCAAUCCCUGGCCUUGCUCAGUGGGUUAAGGAUCCGGUGCUGCUGUGAGCUGUGGUGCAGGUUGGAGAUGUGGCUCAGAUCUGGCGUUCAUGUGGCUGUGGUGUAGGCCAGCAGCUAAAGCUCAGGUUCAACCCCUGGCCUGGGAACUUGGAUGUGCUCCGGGUGUGGCCCUGAAAAGCCCAAAAAAAAAAAAAAAAA
rnacentral:lncRNA from 1 species